AAAAAAGCCGGAAUAGC
rnacentral:tRNA from 6 species